rnacentral:rRNA from 1 species
GAUGAACGCUGGCGGCGUGCCUAAUACAUGCAAGUUGAGCGAUGAAGGGUGGUACUUGUACCAACUGGAUUAGCGGCGGACGGGUGAGUAACGCGUGGGUAAUCUACCUUUGAGCGUGGGACAACAUCGGGAAACGAAUGCUAAUACCGCAUAAAAACUUUAAACACAAGUUUUAAGAUUGAAAGAUGCAAUUGCAUCACCCAAUGAUGAUAUCGCGUUGUAUUAGCCAGUUGGUGAGGUAAAGGCCUACCAAGGCGGUGAUACAUAACCGACCCGGGAAGGGGGUCCGGCCACACGGGACUUGGACACCGGCCCAAAUCCUAAGGGAGGGAGCAGUAGGGGAAUCUCCGCCAUGGAGGAAAGUCUGACCGGGGAACGGCGCCGGGGUGAAUGAGGUUUUCGGAUUGUAAAACUCUUUUGAUAGGGGAGGACCAUGGGGGUAGGUAACAACGCAUCUAGUGACGGUACCUAAUCAGAAAGCGACGGCUAACUACGUG